rnacentral:lncRNA from 1 species
CUCUCAAGAUAUGUCAUGGAACAAUUUAACUACCUACAUAGCUACAGUGUAAUAAAAAUUUCCUACUUCCCAACUCUGCACAUAACUACAACUUCAUGUUUUAACACUUUGUCACUUUUUAAAUUCCGAUAAGGUUUCAAUUUCUGUUUCUGUUAAGAUUAGUUGCAAGCAAGAAAAACUAAUACUACAUGCCAUUAAGGAAACAUUGAAGAAGUGUUGAAAUGAGUAUUAGACAUAAAUCAACUUUUUUGGAAUGCUGAAAGAUGAGAGAGAGAGAGAGAGAGAGAGAGAGGAAGUUCUGAAUAAUCCAGCUGUGCAGCCUUGGUAUGGUGGCAUUUACUGCAGAGAAGUUAAGGUCCCAGUAGUGCAAAAGAAAAUCACUUGAUCUAAAAUGAAGAGAGGUGGAAUGCAUACAAACCUACCUGAGGCUAUUUCAAAGACACCACAGAGAAUUCCUCCAUCAACAGCACAGGCACAGGCGUUGUGGUUUUACUCCAAGUAUCACAUGGAAGCUAUAUGCAUUGUUGGAUAUCGACUGAACUGAAAAUUUUUUGUGUAAUUUAUUAUAUGUUCACUACUAUGUAAAGUGUCAGGAAUGCAUAAGACAUGGCCCCUAUCAUUAAGAGAAUAUUGUUGGAGAGAAAGAGAGGUAAGCAAUAAUAAAGUGGUUUUUCAAUGUUUGUAAAAGUAAGGAUUAUUCCAAAAAAUACCUCAAUUAAUCUUACUUGAGAAAGA